rnacentral:rRNA from 1 species
UACGAGGUGGGCAAGUGUUGUUCGGAAUCACUGGGCGUAAAGGGAGCGUAGGCGGAUGUUUAAUUUGGAUGUUUAAAACCGGGGCCUACCCUCGGAGCGGCAUCCAAAACUGGGCAUCUUGAAUAGGUCAGAGGCUGGUGGAAUUGGAGGUGUAGCGGUGGAAUGCGUAGAGAUCUCGAAGAACACCUAUUGCGAAGGCAGCCAGCUGGGACCAUAUUGACGCUGAGGCUCGAAAUCAUGGGGAGCAAACAGG